ACAAAUUAGAGUGCUUAAAGCAGGCAGCAGCCGCCCGAAUACCGAGUGCAUGGAAUAAUGGAAUAGGACCUCGGUUCUAUUUUGUUGGUUUUCGGAAUCCCCGAGGUAAUGAUCAAUAGGGACAGACGGGGGCAUUCGUAUUGCGACGUUAGAGGUGAAAUUCUUGGAUCGUCGCAAGACGGACCGAAGCGAAAGCAUUUGCCAAGAAUGUUUUCUCUGAUCAAGAACGAAAGUUAGAGGUUCGAAGGCGAUCAGAUACCGCCCUAGUUCUAACCAUAAACGAUGCCAGCCAGCAAUCCGCCGAAGUUCCUCCGAUGACUCGGCGGGCGGCUUCCGGGAAACCAAAGCUUUUGGGUUCCGGGGGAAGUAUGGUUGCAAAGCUGAAACUUAAAGGAAUUGACGGAAGGGCACCACCAGGAGUGGAGCCUGCGGCUUAAUUUGACUCAACACGGGAAACCUCACCAGGCCCGGACACCGGGAGGAUUGACAGAUUGAUAGCUCUUUCUUGAUUCGGUGGGUGGUGGUGCAUGGCCGUUCUUAGUUGGUGGAG
rnacentral:rRNA from 1 species